rnacentral:rRNA from 1 species
UGCCAGACUCCUACGGGAGGCAGCAGUGGGGAAUAUUGCACAAUGGGGGAAACCCUGAUGCAGCGACGCCGCGUGAGUGAAGAAGUAUUUCGGUAUGUAAAGCUCUAUCAGCAGGAACGAGACAAGACGGUACCUGACUAAGAAGCCCCGGCUAACUACGUGCCAGCAGCCGCGGUAAUACGUAGGGGGCAAGCGUUAUCCGGAAUCACUGGGUGUAAAGGGAGCGUAGACGGCUGUGCAAGCCUGAAGUGAAAGGCGGGGGCCCAACCCCCGGACUGCUCUGGAAACUAUUUGACUGGAGUGCAGGAGAGGUAAGCGGAAUUCCUAGUGUAGCGGUGAAAUGCGUAGAUAUUAGGAGGAACACCAGUGGCGAAGGCGGCUUACUGGACUGUAACUGACGUUGAGGCUCGAAAGCGUGGGGAGCAAACAGGAUUAGAUACCCUCGUA